ACGAAGGUGGCAAGCGUUACUCGGAAUUACUAGGCGUAAAGGGCAGGUAGGUGGUUUGACAAGUCUGUUGUGUAAGCUCCCGGCUUAACUGGGAGAGGUCAACGGAAACUAUCAGACUUGAGUAUAGGAGAGGUUACUGGAAUUCCCGGUGUAGCGGUGAAAUGCGCAGAGAUCGGGAGGAACACCAAUGGCGAAAGCAGGUAACUGGACUAUUACUGACACUCAGCUGCGAAAGCUAGGGGAGCAAACAGGAUUAGAUACCCUGGUAGUCCUAGCUGUAAACGAUGCACAUUAGGCGUGAGGGGUAUCGACCCCCUUCGUGCCGACGCAAACGCAUUAAAUGUGCCGCCUGGGGAGUACGGCCGCAAGGUUG
rnacentral:rRNA from 1 species